UGUGAGGGAGUGUUUUGGACGGGUUCUCGCAGCCCUGGAUCAGCGGGUCAUUGGUUGGAAGCUUGAGAAGGUUUUCGAACCAUCUAGAGCUAAUGUGGUGACCUUGGGGAUUGAUUUAGAGGGCGUUCUCACCUGAGCGGGAGUUCGACCGACUUUUGCGUCAUCCUUGGUUGGCUUUGGGAAGCCUUUAGAGACUUAAUUGGAGCAGCAUUGGGGCUUCGUUGAGCCGAUUGUGAGACUUCUUGUGAAUAGUUGGAGCCUAGUACUAG